CCAUUUUUUCCCAGAAUCAGUUUCUGUUUUUUUUUCAUAGUUUAAGUGUACUAGAAAGUGCUAUAGUAGAUGGGGUAAAGGUAAGGUUCCUCUUUCAGACAUUGCAAUCUAUUGGGGCAGAUGACGUAAAGCUUAGCUGUUUCUAUGGUUGGGGGUUAACAAGGGUAUCAUGUGGCCAGCACUUAUGUUUCCCCAUAUUCCAUUUUUUCCCAGAAUCAGUUUCUGUUUUUUUUUUCAUAGUUAAAGUGUACUAGAAUGUCCUAUAGUAGAUGGGGUAAAGGUAAGGUUCCCCCUUCAGACAUUGUGGUCUAUUGGGGCAGAUGACAUAAAGCUCAGCUGUUUCUAUG